rnacentral:rRNA from 1 species
CUACGGGAUGCAGCAGUGGGGAAUUUUGCGCAAUGGGGGAAACCCUGACGCAGCGAUACCGCGUGAGUGAAGAAGGCCUUUGGGUCGUAAAGCUCUUUUCUAAGGGAAGAUAGUGACGGUACCUUAGGAAUAAGCGCCGGCUAACUCCGUGCCAGCAGCCGCGGUAAUACGGAGGGCGCGAGCGUUGUUCGGAUUUACUGGGCGUAAAGGGCGCGUAGGCGGCCUGGCAAGUUAAGGGUGAAAUCCCGGGGCUUAACCCCGGAACUGCUCUUAAAACUGCCAAGCUAGAGAUGGUCAGAGGCGGGUGGAAUUCCAGGUGUAGAGGUGAAAUUCGUAGAUAUCUGGAGGAACACCGGUGGCGAAGGCGGCCCGCUGGGGCCAUUCUGACGCUGAGGCGCGAAAGCGUGGGGAGCGAACGGGAUUAGAUACCCUUGUAGUC